rnacentral:misc_RNA from 1 species
GUUAGGUUGGGUGUGGAUCCAACUGCUGUUGAUGAUCCAACCCCAACAUUUCCUGGAGGAAAAAUUGCAGCUGAUUUAGCAUCAAGCCAAGGACAUAAAGGAAUAGCUGGGUUCUUGGCUGAAGCAUUUUUAACUGGUCACCUUUCCUCAUUAAAUAUCAAAGAAAAUGUGACAGAUACUGUUGAUGCAACCAUUUCAGCAGAAAAGGCUACUGAGACUGCAGCCCAAGUUGCCUUUCCAUUGAGUGGUGGAGCAGAUGAUCAGUUUUCCUUGAAAGAAUCUCUUGCUGCUGUCAGAAAAUCAACUAUUGCAGCAGCUCUUAUUCAAGCUGCGUACCGCUCUUAUUCUUUCCGUUAUAGACAAUUUCCUAAGAGCAG